CUACGGGAGGCACCAGUGAGGAAUAUUGCACAAUGGGGGGAACCCUGAUGCAGCAACGCCGCGUGGAGGAUGACGCAUUUCGGUGUGUAAACUCCUUUUAUAUGUCAAGAAAAUGACGGUAGCAUAUGAAUAAGCACCGGCUAGCUCCGUGCCAGCAGCCGCGGUAAUACGGAGGGUGCAAGCGUUACUCGGAAUCACUGGGCGGAAAGGACGCGUAGGCGGGUUGGAAAGUCAGGUGUGAAAUCCUACAGCUUAACUGUAGAACUGCACUUGAAACUUCUAAUCUAGAGUAUGGGAGGGGGAGAUGGAAUUAGUGGUGUAGGGGUAAAAUCCGUAGAUAUCACUAGGAAUACCUAAAGCGAAGGCGAUCUCCUGGAACAUUACUGACGCUAAGGCGUGAAAGCGUGGGGAGCAAACAGGAUUAGAUACCCCUGUAGUC
rnacentral:rRNA from 1 species